rnacentral:tRNA from 1 species
GCCACUGUAGCUCAGCCUGGCAGAGCGUCUGAUUCGUAAUCAGACGGUCGAGGGUUCAAAUCCCUCCAGUGGCU